CUGGCUCAGGAUGAACGCUGGCGGCGUGCCUAAUACAUGCAAGUCGAGCGAGAAUCAGUUGAACGGAGAUUCGUCAAAGUGAAACGUGAGGAAAGCGGCGGACGGGUGAGUAACGCGUAGGCAACCUGCCCUUAGCAGAGGGAUAGCCAUUGGAAACGAUGAUUAAAACCUCAUAAUGCUGAUUUAACACAUGUUGGAUCAGCCAAGGAUUUAUCGGCUAAGGAUGGGCCUGCGUCUGAUUAACUAGUUGGUGAGGUAACGGCUCACCAAGGUGACGAUCAGUAGCCGACCUGAGAGGGUGAUCGGCCACAUUGGAACUGAGACACGGUCCAAACUUCUACGGAAGGCAGCAGUAAGGAAUCUUGCACAAUGGGGGAAACCCUGAUGCAGCAACGCCGCGUGAACGAUGAAGGCCUUAGGGUUGUAAAGUUCUGAUCUGUGGGAAGAAGAAGUGACGGUACCACAGGAGGAAGCCCCGGCUAAAUACGUGCCAGCCGCCGC
rnacentral:rRNA from 1 species